rnacentral:rRNA from 1 species
UACGAAGGGUGCAAGCGUUAUUCGGAUUGAUUGGGCGUAAAGGGUGCGCAGACGGUGCAUUAAGUCAACUGUUAAAUUUCCCGGCUUAACCGGGAGCCAGCAGUAGAAACUGGUGUGCUAGAGGGUGGAAGAGGAAAGUGGAAUUCUCGGAGUAGCGGUAAAAUGCGUAGAUCUCGAGAGGAACACCGAUGGCGAAGGCAGCUUUCUGGUCCAUUCCUGACGUUCAUGCACGAAAGCGUGGGGAGCAAACAGG